rnacentral:rRNA from 1 species
UAGAGUUUGNUCAUGGCUCAGANUGAACNCUGNCNNNCGGGUUAACACAUGCAAGUCGAACGGUCACAGUGAAGAAAGCUUGCUUUCUUUGCUGACGAGUGGCGGACGGGUGAGUAAUGCUUGGGAAUCUGGCUUAUGGAGGGNGAUAACUACGGGAAACUGUAGCUAAUACCGCGUAAUAUCGAGAGAUUAAAGGGUGGGACCGCAAGGCCACCUGCCAUGAGAUGAGCCCAAGUGGGAUUAGGUAGUUGGUGAGGUAAAGGCUCACCAAGCCGACGAUCUCUAGCUGGUCUGAGAGGAUGACCAGCCACACUGGAACUGAGACACGGUCCAGACUCCUACGGGAGGCAGCAGUGGGGAAUAUUGCACAAUGGGGGGGAACCCUGAUGCAGCCAUGCCGCGUGAAUNAAGAAGNCCUUCGGNUUGUAANGUUCUUNCGGUAGCGAGGAAGCAUUUAGUUUAAUAGACUAGAUGAUUGACGUUUACUACAGAAGAGCNCGGCUANCUCGUGCNAGCAGCCCNGUUAUACNGGGGUANANCGUNAUCGAAUACUGGCGUAAGGCCNCCAGCGUGNUUNU